rnacentral:rRNA from 1 species
AGCUCCAAUAGUGUAUAUUAAAGUUGCUGCGGUUAAAAAGCUCGUAGUUGGAUUUCGUGUGUUUUCCGGGCAAAGGUCGUCGCAAGGCGUGCCUCGUUCGGUGCAUACUAGUUUUGGGUAAUGGCCCUGCGCUUCGCGGCGUGGGAUCACCGUUCCCAAUCAUUUACUUUGAAAAAAUUAGAGUGUUCAAAGCAGGCGUAAGCCAUUGAAUAUUACAGCAUGGGAUAAUAGAAUAUGACGUUGGUCUUAUUUUGUUGGUUUCUAAGGCUGAUGUAAUGAUUAAUAGGGAUAGUUGGGGUCGCUCGUAUUGAGUUGUCAGAGGUGAAAUUCUAGGAUUUACUCAAGACGAACUAAUGCGAAAGCAUUCGACAAGGAUGUUUUCA